rnacentral:rRNA from 1 species
UACGGGGGGUGCGAGCGUUGUUCGGAAUCACUGGGCGUAAAGCGCGUGUAGGCGGCCUUGUAAGUCUGGUGUGAAAGCCCGGGGCUUACCCCCGGAAGUGCACUGGAGACUGUGAGGCUAGAGUACCGGAGAGGAGGGUGGAAUUCCUGGUGUAGCGGUGAAAUGCGUAGAUAUCCGGAGGAACCCCGGUGGCGAAGGCGGCCCUCUGGACGGAUACUGACGCUGAGCCGCGAAAGCGUGGGGAGCAAUCAGG